CCCGUCAGCCAGCAUAUAUCCGACGGCUGCCAGGCACGGUCUUCAAUUUCCUAAAUGCCCGGCAGUUUUUAAUUUUCAGCGUUAUUUCAAGUAAACAAGGGUUAGGGUUAGGGUUAAGGUUAAGGGGGAGCUAUGGGCAGUCGUCUCAGUACCCAUGCAGAUACAUACAGUAGCAUGCCAACAGUGGUUUUAUGCCAUUUUUUCUGUACUUUUUUUUGCAAACAAAAUGCAUGCUAUUAAUUAUAACAAGACUAAAUUGUCCGAAAUUUUGCAGCCAAAAAAAAUCAGGUUCCAUAUGCUUUGUUUUCGAUCGACACGAAAAUAAGUUGGAAAAUAUUCGCAUUUAAUUACAAUACACUUAAGGUAUCACGCCUGGAAAUCAUUAUCCAUAGACGAUAAUACUUACGAAAAAA